rnacentral:misc_RNA from 1 species
AAAGUCGUAACAAGGUUUCCGUAGGUGAACCUGCGGAAGGAUCAUUACUGGCGGUCAGGUCUUUGACCUGAACCAUCAACCCUUUGUAUACCUUCUCUGUUGCUUUGGCAAGCUUGUUGGGAAAUCCAUCGCUGGCUUUGAUCAGUUUAUGCUUGUCAGAAGAUUAUUCAACUCAAAUAACAUAUGUCUGAGUCAUAUAUAAUAGAUAAAACUUUCAACAACGGAUCUCUUGGUUCCA